rnacentral:rRNA from 1 species
AUACGUAGGUGGCAAGCGUUGUCCGGAAUUAUUGGGCGUAAAGCGCAUGUAGGCGGUUUGGUAAGUCGGUCAUGAAAAUGCGGUGCUUAACGCCGUAUGGCGAUUGAAACUGCUGAACUUGAGUGCAGGAGAGGCAAGGGGAACUCCCAGUGUAGCGGUGAAAUGCGUAGAUAUUGGGAAGAACACCGGUGGCGAAGGCGCCUUUCUGGACUGUGUCUGACGCUCAGAUGCGAAAGCCAGGGUAGCGAACGGGAUUAGAUACCCCGGUAGUCCUGGCCGUAAACGAUGGGUACUAGGUGUGGGAGGUAUCGACUCCUUCCGUGCCGGAGUUAACGCAAUAAGUACCCCGCCUGGGGAGUACGGCCGCAAGGCUUAAACUCAAAGGAAUUGACGGGG